GUUUCGUGAUUAUUAGCCUUGUGUGUUCGGGUUUGGAUGAACUGCGAUUGGUACAAAAAUUGGCCGAUAUCGUUAUUGUUGAGAUGGGGUUGUAGAGGUGUUGAUACAUUUAGAUGUUAUUCUUUCAUAUUAUGGUCGUUCACUGAUUCGCAAAGUUGUAAGAUCAAAAUUAAGAAAAAUCCUUUGCGUGUUUUGUAAAUCCGAUCUGUCGCUUGCAGGGUAGCCAUUCUCUUUUUUUAUUCAAGUCGUCAGCCUCAACUACCAGUAGUUACAUCAUCCUUAUACUCAUGUCCUUACAAUAUAUUUUGCUUUCACUUUAUAAAAUUAAAUCUAGUAAAAUGUUAUGAGUUUCAGCAGCCACAAGGAACGAAAGCUCCAUUUUUCCCCAUUUAAUACAUUAUUGCUUACCCCACCCCAUACAAUAAAAUUUGUAACGCUCCAAAAAUAAUUUUUU